CAUGGAUUAUGGUGGAAAUUAGGAUUCAUUUGAGGGAACUGGAAAUAGAUCGGAUUUCAAUCUGACCUUCACAGGAAGCGUUAAUUACAUCACAACACGUUCAUAUCAUUAUUAAUAAUAACAAACAGAUGAAUUAUUUCCCACAUUAAAUUGAUAUGGAGAUGAAACGGGGUGUGAGUGUGAUUAACAGCUGCAGAGCUGCACUCAACACAGCCUCUCUGUAAUGUUUAUGCAAAUCUGCAUCUCCUCUUGUAAUAUUAGCAGCGUUCUGAUCUAGAGAGGAAACACUUCUCAUUAGUCUUCCUUCAACACAAACAUGUUUGCUUCAGCUCCACUGCUGCUGCUGGCUCUCGCCCCCUAUGUGUUCGGUGCUACUGAGCUCAUCCAGCCAGACUCACUGCUUAUAAAGCCAGGAGAGACUUUAACCAUCACCUGUAAAGUGUCUGGAGCUUCUAUCACUGAUAGGAGCAGCCACUAUGUAACAGCUUGGAUUCGGCAACAUGCAGGAAAAGCUUUAGAAUGGAUCAAUUUAAUCUAUUAUAAUGGGGUUAUUAGUAAUAAAGAUUCACUUAAAGACAAGUUUGUGGUCUCUCGAGACACUUCCAGUAACUCCGUGACCUUACGGGGACAGAACAUGCAGACUGAAGACACAGCUGUGUAUUACUGCGCUCGUCAUCCACACAGUGACACAACAAGCUGCAGUGCUGCACAACAACCUCAUCGCAAUUCAAUUCUUUAA